rnacentral:rRNA from 1 species
UACGUAGGGCGCAAGCGUUGUCCGGAAUUAUUGGUCGUAAAGAGCUCGUAGGCGGUCUGUUACGUCCGCUGUGAAAACCCAGGGCUUAACCCUGGGCUUGCAGUGGAUACGGGUAGACUAGAGGCAGGUAGGGGAGAAUGGAAUUCCCGGUGUAGCGGUGAAAUGCGCAGAUAUCGGGAGGAACACCGGUGGCGAAGGCGGUUCUCUGGGCCUGACCUGACGCUGAGGAGCGAAAGCGUGGGGAGCGAACAGG